rnacentral:rRNA from 1 species
GACGAACGCUGGCGGCGUGCUUAACACAUGCAAGUCAAGGGGGCCCAGCAAUGGGCAACCGGCGAACGGGUGCGUAACACGUGAGCAACCUACCGAACUGUGGGGGAUAGCCGGCCUAACGGCCGAGUAAUACCGCAUACGCUUUCAGUGAGGCAUUUCAUUGAAAGGAAACCUACGGGACAGAUCGAGGGGCUCGCGGCCUAUCAGCUAGUUGGCGAGGUAACGGCUCACCAAGGCAACGACGGGUAGCUGGUCUGAGAGGAUGGCCAGCCACAUUGGGACUGAGAUACGGCCCAGACUCCUACGGGAGGCAGCAGUGGGGAAUCUUGCGCAAUGGCCUAACGGCUGACGCAGCGACGCCGCGUGUGGGAUGAAGCUCUUCGGAGUGUAAACCACUGUUGCCCGGGACGAAUAGCUCGAUUAAUCGAGCCUGACGGUACCGGGUGAGGAAGCACCGGCUAACUCCGU